rnacentral:rRNA from 1 species
CCUACGGGACGCAGCAGUCGGGAAUAUUGCGCAAUGGAGGGAACUCUGACGCAGUGACGCCGCGUAUGGGAAGAAGGUCUUCGGAUUGUAAACCAUUUUAGACAGGGAAGAGGAAGGACAGUACCUGUAGAAUAAGCUCCGGCUAACUACGUGCCAGCAGCCGCGGUAAUACGUAGGGAGCAAGCGUUAUCCGGAAUUAUUGGGUGUAAAGGGUGCGUAGACGGGAAUACAAGUUGGUUGUGAAAUCCCUUGGCUUAACUGAGGAACUGCAACCAAAACUAUAUUUCUUGAGUACUGGAGAGGAA